CUCGACCCACUCACUGUCCAAGCAGUGGUGGGGUCAGUGUGAUCAAGUGGGGUCCACAUCAAUUAACAGCUACUUCUGUCGGAAUAGUAUGGUUUCGAUUAGAUGUCCAACUGGAUCGGAUCCUCACCUAGCGGUUACGACGCCCGUUACCUUUACCUAUAUAUUCCUUCUUUUGCCAUCGCGCCCUCGCUCCUCGAUCAGGCAGGUUCCACUAGGGUUCGAAGAGGCAGAGUGAGUCGAUUGGUGGAGUUCUUGCUGCGGCGACGAGCGGCGCGGCCGCUUCGGUAUGGGAGGGUGUGGACCGGCGAUGGACGUCGAGGCGAUUCUUGGGAAGGUCACCGACCGACGAGGGUUCGGAGACGCCUUCGCGGCCGAGGUUUGCUCGGAAACGAGCACUGCUUGUUCCAGUAUGCUUGUAGAACCAGUAUACGGACUGCAACUGCGAUGCCACUAGUUUGUUUCAUGCAAAGAUGGGUUCUCCAGAGUUCUAAGAUGUGUCUGUGUGUGUUUGUGGGUCAUAGCUUUGGAGGCAUUUGAACAUUGUCCCUCUUACUAUUGGUUGCGACUUGCAUGUAGAUUAUGUUAUGAAUGUGCAUCUGCUCUCAGAAGUGCCCUUUACAGUUUUCAUAGCUGUGACAAAACAUUUUGCCAUGUUACCAUCUAACUUGGGCUUUCAGGAGUUUGUGGAUAUAUGCCAAGAUUUGAUACAGUUGCAGGGAUAUAGUUGAUACUUAUCUAUAAAUUGAAGGUAUGAUACACUGGUAACGCUUUCAUCAUUUUGUGUAUUAGUGAUAAUUUAGAAUUAUCUAUAAAUUUAGAAUCAUUUUGUGAUUGUGUAUUAGUGAUACUUAUCUAAUACACUUGAGUAUUAGUGAUGAUUUAGAAUCAUCUACCAGUAAUGCUCUCAUCAUUUUGUGGAAAUCGAUUACAGCUCUUUCUCUUUCUUGUUAUCUGAAUACAUCAUUGGUAGCAAAGAGCAGUCAGCACGUGCUUACUCUGCCCUACAUGUAUGUAUGUUAUGUCUGAAAGUGUACUAAACACAACUCAACGCCCAUUUAUAUGUUGAUUUAUCUAAUGCAUAGUUCUUUUGGCUA